rnacentral:lncRNA from 1 species
CCCAAAGAUAGCGACGACGGUCAGAUGAACGACGAUGCCUUGACCAUCCAUUUGAAGAACGAGCUCUUGGUUCCCUAACAAUUUCAAUGGUGUUAUCCAUCAUUUGGAACAAGAUGGUGGUAGUGGUUAACCAAGGUACAUUACCAUUGCCAUUGCUCCCCUCCCUACCACCACCUGGUGGUAACCUACCAAUACCAUCCCCGUUUUCGAGAACAUAAUCCCCAACUACCACAGCUCCUGGUAUGGCAGACUGAAUAGCACUCAC